AGUGUCGGCUGCACCAUGGCCCGGGUGGGCAGAGCCCAGGACCCCCGGGGGAGCCACGCAGCCCCCCUUGCCUUCUGGCCCCAGCUCUGCUUGAGGGCCCCUUACUGCCUGGGGGGCGGCUGCCAUUUCUCCUCAUUUCCGGGGCACCUUCCUGCCCUGGAGAGAAGGAGCACUGGAUUGCUGAGCCAUGCGCAAGGUGGGGGGCUCGCAGCCCAGCUCGCCAGGGGACAGUGACCCCUCCGGCUCCCAGAGGAAGCCCCCCCUUGGCCCCACACUGCUCAUCUUAAAACUUCUGGCAUUUUUGUCCAGUUUUAAGAUGAUGAUGUUGCCUCUCUUCUCCAGUAAGAGCAACCGCAUCAGGCCCAUUCAGGAAACAUGUAAACCUUCUCCUGCAGCUGAAAAAUGAAACUGGUUUCCAGAUGCGCCUGAACAGCUUCCCCGCCCCUGCGAGUCCAGACAGCUGCGGCCCCUCCCCGAGGGCGGCCCAGAACCCCGGCCACAGCACGGAGAUGGCUCCGUCUCCAUCCGCCCUCGGGUUCACUUCCUCCGAGACGGCCCUUGCGGAGGGGUCCCUGGUGCUCCCCCCAGCCUGCCACCUCACUGUGCCUCACUUCCCAGCAGAGCACCCCAGUAAAGUUGGUUGUCACUGGCUC